GUGUGUGUGUGUGUGUGUGAUUACAGGGUUUAUCUUCUGUGCACACACAACUCAAAUUCCUGAUAUUUCUGCAUGUCAUGUCCAAACAUGUCCAAACAUUUUCUUCUUGGAAGGAGACUGCAGCACUUAACCUAAACACCUCAUUUUAACUUUUGACUUAUAUCUUCUAAGACACCGUCUCUCAACAGUCACAUUCUACUGUGGUAGAGGUUUAAAUCAAGUUUGAACAUAGGAAUUUGGUGGUAUGGUAGGCAGGAUCGGCUCCCAGUCUCAUACAUGGUCACUCUUGUAGAGAUGACUAGAAACUCUGUCUCUCUUACUAGGACAAUAUUUCUGUGAUAAGGGCAAUAUAAAGUGAAUUACUAUUGUUUAUUUUUUUUCAGCCCUUAGGACUAUGAAAUCAUCAAGUUGACCAAAGUGUGUCCUGACUCCUGUAUCAGCUCUCUCUGCAGGAGACUGAAGCUUGUGGGGACAAAAGACCUUUUGUAAGCCUAAGGAUGGAUUUCUGAGACACUGCCAAUCCUGCUACAAAGCCUUCAUGACUAGCUUGUCUUCAGUGCCUGGCCACUCACUGUGCAGGGACAUUCCCAAACCUGUCAGCUUGUCUUUGGUUUUACAGUUCUUUCUAGCAAACAUCAGUGCUUUUCUCUGUCUUUCAGAUGUUGAAAGUCACAAGUUGCACAGUGGUUAUGUUUUUAUUUUAUGUAAGGAUUAUUUCUAUUUUGGGCAUUCGCUGACAGCUCCUUUGGAACAGUGCUGUAACAAACCUAUUGGAACUUGGCUUUAUGGAGAAUAAAACAAGCCUGAGAAUGAUUUUUGCCUAUUAAGUGGAAGGUCAAACUCUAUCUAAUCCUACAAUGGCUGACUGUGAAUGGAAAAGUCCAAGAAUCCAGUAGUUUCUCAGCCUACAAGGCUUGUUGUUGCAGCUGGUCUUCAGUAUAUUCUGCAUUUGCCAAGAAGUAGGACCCGAUCCCAAUGAAGGUAUGGACAUGCCAGCGAGGUGAAUACAAGCAGGUAAAAGAUUCUAGUCCAGUCAUCAUCAGAGAUGUUUCUUCUGGCAGCUGAUGGGGACACAUGCAGAGUCCCACAGCCAAAUAUUAGUUGGAGAGGAGAGAAAGAGAGUAAAAGGUUGACUCUAACAGGGCAGUGGUGGCGCACACCUUUGAUUCCAGCACUUGGGAGGUGGAGGCCGGCAGAUUUCUGAGUUUGAGGCCAG